CGAACGCUGGCGGCAUGCCUACCACAUGCAAGUCGACCGAGACCUUCGGGUCUAGUGGCGCACGGGUGCGUAACGCGUGGGAACCUGCCCUUAGGUUCGGAAUAACUCCCCGAAAGGGGUGCUAAUACCGGAUAAUGUCUUCGGACCAAAGAUUUAUCGCCUUUGGAUGGGCCCGCGUUGGAUUAGCUAGUUGGUAGGGUAAAAGCCUACCAAGGCGACGAUCCAUAGCUGGUCUGAGAGGAAGAUCAGCCACACUGGGACUGAGACACGGCCCAGACUCCUACGGGAGGCAGCAGUGGGGAAUAUUGGACAAUGGGCGAAAGCCUGAUCCAGCAAUGCCGCGUGAGUGAUGAAGGCCUUAGGGUUGUAAAGCUCUUUUACCCGGGAUGAUAAUGACAGUACCGGGAGAAUAAGCUCCGGCUAACUCCGUG
rnacentral:rRNA from 1 species